rnacentral:rRNA from 1 species
AACGUAGGUUCCGAGCGUUAUCCGGAUUUACUGGGCGUAAAGCGCGUUCAGGCGGUUUGGCAAGUCGGGCAUGAAAUCUCUCGGCUCAACCGGGAGAGGUGGUCCGAUACUGCUGGACUUGAGGGCAGUAGAGGGUGGUGGAAUUCCGGGUGUAGUGGUGAAAUGCGUAGAUAUCCGGAGGAACACCAGUGGCGAAAGCGGCCACCUGGACUGCACCUGACGCUGACACGCGAAAGCUAGGGGAGCGAACGGG